rnacentral:lncRNA from 1 species
UAACGUACGCAUACGGAUGGCAAUUGAAGAUCGGCAACUGCAAAUAGAGAGAGCACUUUUGCAGCUAUACUUUUUGCAUACUGGAUUUUAAGUUGGGAUGAAGGAGUUAUUGGAUUUUAAAGUCAGCACAUGCAAUCUAAGGGUAAUAAGUAAACCGAUUUACUAGUGUUUAUCUCUUGAGCUAUAUCUUGAGCAAUUUGACAAGGUUUUGGCUCAAAAUUUCAAGGAAUGUGUAAUUUCAUGUUAAUAAAGUUUGUGCAUAAGUUUUAUGACAUUUGGAGUUCGGAUUUUUGAGAUAUAAGGAAAAUAGUUUUUCAGGUGCUUG